UACGUAGGGGGCAAGCGUUGUUCGGAAUUACUGGGCGUAAAGGGCGCGUAGGCGGCACGGCAAGUCAGGAGUGAAAGCCCUGGGCUCAACCCAGAAACUGCUUUUGAAACUGCCGAGCUAGAGUGCGGAAGGGGCAACUGGAAUUCCCAGUGUAGCGGUGAAAUGCGUAGAUAUUGGGAAGAACACCUGAGGCGAAGGCGGGCUGCUGGGCCGACACUGACGCUGACAGCGCGAAAGCUAGGGGAGCGAACGGG
rnacentral:rRNA from 1 species